rnacentral:rRNA from 1 species
AUUGAACGCUGGCGGCAGGCCUAACACAUGCAAGUCGAACGAGUGGCGGACGGGUGAGUAAUGACUGGGCAACUGCCCGAUGGAGGGGGAUAACUACUGGAACCGGUAGCUAAUACCGCAAACCAUCGGAUGUGCCCAGAUGGGAUUAGCUAGUAGGUGGGGUGACGGCUCACCUAGGAGACGAGCCCUAGCUGGUCUGAGAGGAUGACCGGCCACACUGGAACUGAGACACUGUCCAGACUCCUACGGGAGGCAGCAGUGGGGAAUAUUGCACAAUGGGCGCAAGCCUGAUGCAGCCAUGCCGCGUGUAUGAAGAAGGCCUUCGGGUUGUAAAGUACUUUCAGCGAGGAGGCGUUACUCGCAGAAGAAGCACCGGCUAACUCCGUGCCAGCAGCCGCGGUAAUUC